rnacentral:rRNA from 1 species
CCCUUAGACGUUCUGGGCCGCACGCGCGCUACACUGACCAGUGCAACAAGCAUCCGUCCUUGGCCGACAGGCCCGGGCAAUCUUUGAACGCUGGUCGUGAUGGGGAUAGACUUUUGCAAUUUUUGGUCUUCAACGAGGAAUUCCUAGUAAACGCAAGUCAUCAACUUGCAUUGAUUACGUCCCUGCCCUUUGUACACACCGCCCGUCGCACCUACCGAUUGAAUGGUCCGGUGAAGCCUCCGGAUUGGCGCGCACCCGGUGCCGCCGAGAAGUUGGCUAAACCUUACCAUUUAGAGGAAGGUGAAGUCGUAACA